AUGGCGUCGCCCUGCAUGGGACCGGCGCCUCCGGGCUAAGAGCUCUCUCCCGCUGUCCGACGCUGAGGAGCUGCGGCGCUGGCCGCUGCCCACCCGAGCCGGUCGAGGAGGACUGCUCGCAGCGCAGUGAGGGGUGCGGCCUCGGAGGGGCAGAGGCUGAACCGCCCUGCCCGACGCGCAUCCUCCCCGCCUCCGCCGCGGCGCCAGCCCCCGUCAGAUUCCCGGCCGAGCGGCAGGAGGGAGGACGCCGACUCCGCUGCAGGAAAGUGAAUGAACUUAAUUGAGAAUGUCUGAAAACCUUGACAAGUCCAAUAUAAACGAAGAAGGAAAAUCAAAAUCAAAUGAUUCUGAGCAAGGCCUUGAAGAUGCUGUGGAAAGUUCUGAUGAAGCUUUACAGAAAAUAAAGUCGGGCUCUCCUAGCACCCAAAGAGUGCAAAGACCUCACUCUAGUCCUCCUCGAUUCGUGACAGUAGAAGAACUUCUAGAGACAGCAAAAGGAGUAACUAACAUGACCAUAGCCCAUGAAAUUGUCAUAAAUGGAGACUUUCGGAUUAAACCAGUUGAAUUACCAGAAGACAGCUUGGAGAAGAAAGUAAAGGAUAUUGUACAUAAAGCUUUUUGGGAUUGCUUGAGUGUCCAGCUAUGUGAAGACCCCCCAACUUAUGACCGGGCCAUCAAGCUUGUUGGUGAGAUCAAAGAGACGCUCUUAUCUUUCUUGCUGCCUGGUCACACUAGACUGAGAAACCAGAUAACAGAAGUCUUGGAUCUGGAUCUGAUAAAGCAGGAGGCAGAGAAUGGGGCCUUGGAUAUUUCCAAGCUGGCAGAAUUCAUUAUUGGCAUGAUGGGGACACUGUGCGCACCUGUUCGAGAUGAGGAAGUGAAGAAACUAAAGGACAUUAAGGAAAUAGUGCCCCUUUUCAGGGCAAUUUUUUCCGUGUUGGACCUAAUGAAAGUGGAUAUGGCAAACUUUGCUGUCAGUAGCAUUAGGCCACAUCUCAUGCAGCAGUCAGUUGAAUAUGAAAGGAAGCAGUUUCAAGAGUUUUUGGAGAAGCAUCCAAAUUCCCUGGACUUUGUCACCCAGUGGCUGGAAGAAGCCGCAGAUGACCUUAUGAAUCAGAAGUAUAGAAAUGCCCUGCCGGCUGUGGGAGAGGCCUCUGGCUCUGGGGACAGUCCCGGGCCAGAUCCUGUUGCUGUCCAGAAUUAUGCAUACCUGAAGCUUCUGAAGUGGGACCACCUCCACAGACCUUUCCCUGAAACAGUUUUGAUGGACCAUUCUCGCUUCCAAGAGUUCCAGCUCCAGCUGGAGCAGCUGACCGUCCUGGGGGCCGUGUUGCUGGUCACGUUCAGCAUGGCAGCUCCAGGAAUUUCCAGCCGGGCCGACUUUGCUGAGAAACUCAAGAUGAUUGUGAAGAUUCUGCUCACAGAUAUGCAUCUGCCCUCCUUCCAUCUGGAGGAUGCCCUGACUACCGUUGGGGAGAAAGUCUGCCUGGAGGUGAGCAGCUGCCUUUCCCUGUGCGGAUUCAGCCCCCUCACCACGGACAAGGAGGCCGUGCUCAAGGGCCAGAUCCAGGCCAUGGCCAGUCCUGACAACCCCAUCCGCAGGAUCGUGGAUUCCCGAAUCCUGACCUUCUUAGAAACCUACCUUGUCUCCAGUCAUCAGAAGCCAUUGCCCACAGCCCCAGGGGGAUUAGGUCCAGUUCAAACAGAGCUGGAGGAAGUUGCCAUUAACUUCGUGCGCCUGGUCAACUAUAACAAGAUGGUCUUCAGUCCCUACUAUGAUGCAAUCCUCAGUAAGAUCCUUGUCAGACCCUAACGCCUGUGCUCCCUGCAGCAGCAGUGUUACCCACUUGACCUGUUCUCAGCUGUAGUGUUGCUUUGGAAAAUGGCUGCUUAGUACCUUUCUAUUUAACAGCACUGAUGCCAAAAGGAAGAGUAUUGUGUAUCACUGUUGAAAAGGCUUGUUUUGAGGGUUUGUGUUUAUGAGUGCAAGUUUACAAAUCAGAGAAGCUUUUCGUUAUCGUGAGUUUUGUAGGUAGCACUCAGCUUUUGACGGGUGGGCUGCCGUGUGUCUCCACCCACACCCUAUCAUGAUCGUAGCUGCCUCGUCUCUCCCAGGAGCCUGGGACCUCUUCUGCCAUCUGGCUCGCUUUUCUUUCAGACACCCAAGAGUAUCUGACAGCCACCCCAGAGUGAACAGAACCAGGCCUUGAUGCGUUUAGACCCUUGCCCGUCUCUUGCCCAGCCCAGCCCUCCUUCCUCCAGGUAUUUUGUGUUGGAAGGACUUUAUAUAGUCUUACUGCCUCCACACACCUCCCGCACCCACUAUUUAUUGCUUUCUCCCUGCCUGGGCUAGCUGGAGCCCCAGAACCCUUUUGUUCUAGAGGAGAGUUAUUUGAUUUUAAAAAGCUUACUUGUUUAUACAAAAUUACUUCUGAGCCUGGAUGAUAGCAGUUAUGGGAUCUAGAGAAAGGAAAAUUCUGUGACUUUUAUGCCUUGAAAGUCAAGGAGAAAUUUUUUUUUAAAUAUAUGUUAGUGUAAUAUAUAGAAGAGGACAGAUGUCUGAAGUUCUUACUGAAAAGUUCACUCUGAUACAAUACAUAGAUGUAUUGAUUGGAUUCGAAUUCCAGCAUUGGAUUUAAGUGUUUUCAGGUAAAAUAGCGUCAGCUCACUUAUUUCUCGGAUAACGAAGUUAUAGGAGAUCCCUGGUUUUUGAGCAGUAUUUAUUGAGGAACUUCAGUGACCAGAAUUCCUGACAUAUCCUGUGACUGAAAGGGUAGCUUGGCUCUCACAGGUGACCUGUUCUGUUAAAAAAAAUAAAAUGUGCGCAUGUGCCUGUGUGUAUUUUAGACAGGGACAUUUUGUUAGAAACAGAGCCAUGAAGUUGUUGGGCGAUCUCCAGUUCCCAGAAUCAUGCAAGGAAUCCCUUCAUUCAAGCCGAUGAGCGCUGGGGUGGAGCUGGGGACAGCGUUGGGGAAACAUCCACCCUGUACACUGUCUAGUGAUGCGAGGCUUCAGAGGAGUGAAGGUUAUACUGGGAAUGUGAUUUCUCCAAGUAUUUGCUUCUAAUAUUUUUACUUGCAGUCAGAAAUGUAUGCUGGGUUACGUGGUCAGAGGUCAUAUUAAUAAAGUUUAGGCUGAAGGACAAAUCCUCCAAGGUUUCACUGGAAGGGGAUGAAAGCUCGAGUGAAGUUUGAACACUUUGAAAUCUUGAUGCCUAUAUAACAGGGAGCUUCACAGACUCCUGUGGCCCCCACUACCUCAGUGUCCACUGGUGGAAUUCUACAGAAGCCAGAAUGAAGACGGCAGAGUUCAGAAUCACAAUAUUCAUAUUGAAUCAUUUUGUUGCUGCUCUUUGAAGAUAAGUGAGCUAGUUUUCUUCCUGGAAUCUCAUAGGAUUAUCACUAAGGGCCAGGAAAAUUCAUUUAGUUCAUUUAGUCACUCAGGAAACAUUUGCUAAGCAUCUACUUAGAACUCCCCCCUACAGCUCUCCCUCCAAGACAGAAAUAGCUUUGGCGUAUAAAUUAUCCUUCAGAAUUGAAUUGGGUUAUAUACUGCAUACUGAUUGCAUUUGAUGUGGUUUCCUGCCUAACAGGUUUGUGGAAAACAUGUCUUGUGGAAGUGCUGAGUUUAUUGGGCACUAGUAUUUCACUGCAGGUGGGUAGAACUGAUUGCCUUGAGAGUUGGGUUGAUAUCAGCAGGUCAGGUAGAUUUCUUUGAUAGUCUCCUGAAUGAAUGAAUGAAUGAAUGUCUAGAGCGGUGACUGCUGCCUUGUCAGCUCUCAACUGAUUGGGUGGAUUCUCACUCUACAUAUGUAUAUUUUUUAAUCUUAUUCUAAAGCAAGCUGUAAAAUGUGAUCGUUUAUGUAGCCCUUUAUAAAUAUACUUCAGGUCAGAAUUACACUGAUAUAUCUUACUGAUUAAUGCAGUGGACAGGUGUGUAGGAAUUUUUUUCUCUGUGAAGAGAAGUUAUUAAAAAGUUUGACUCAAUAGGCACAUAAUGUGCACAUACUGGCUGACAAUUCUGAAUGGAUUAUUUAGCAGUUCUGUUUUUGUGGCUUAUUUUACUUUCUCCAGAGUCUUAAGAUACCUGGGAAUAGAGCAGCCUACUUUCCUGGUGAAUUUCAAAGGAAGGGAAUAGGUGUUUGCUGUUUGAUUUCCAGUGACAUUUUGGCAUGCCCUGAUUUCUGUGUAUAACAUUUGUAUUUCUUUUAAUUUUGAGGCAGGGUGGUAGAGUGGAAAGACUGGGAGCUGUCAAGAAACCAGAGUUUUGAUCCUAUUUCUGUUACGUGAUUAGCUCGAGCAAAUCAGGACCCAUUUCCAGUACCUAUAAAAUGAAAGGACUGGAUUUAACCUUACAAGCCUUUCCAAGUCUGACAUUCUGUAGUAAAUCUGACUGGACUUAAUAACUUAAGUAGACUGCAGUAGGAUUGUGCAGAAAGUUCCUGAUUUAGAGGAAGAUCUGGGUUGAGUUUUUCCUCUGUUGCCUUCUUGCAAGGUUAUGUGAUGUUGGGCUAAUCAUUCUUCCUUGGGCUCUGUAUUUUCACCCGUAAAAUGAGCAUACUCCUAACUCACACUUCCUGGGAGGAUUAAAUUUGAUAAUGGAUAUUAGAAUGCUUUGUACAUGCAAAAGGACUAUGAAUGACUUUAUUAGCAACAAAGGAGAGCAUAUAACCCUGCCUGUAGGUGCAUAUCUGUUAUCAUGACAGAUUCGACUGUUGGUGCCCAACCUCCCUUCAGUCAAGCACAUUUUACAGGCCUGUAGGGAAGGUUUUCCUCCUGUCCUGUCCCAAGACUGUUAUUUUCUUUUCUCAUCUCUUCUGUGCUAGAGCUGCAAUCUUACUUUUCCUAUCUGCUGCCGUUCACUCCACCCCAGUGGUUUCUCCCCAUUUCCACCUCUAUAUCAUUUGAAGUAAAUGAAUGCAUCAAUGAACAAAUGAGUGGAUGACUGAAUGGUAGUGGACGAUGGGCUAUGAAACUCAUAUUAAAAGGCACUAUCUCAUUGAAAACAUAAUCUAAAUAAAGAAUUACAGUGAUGUUUGCAAUUGUGUAUUUAUAUUGGGUUUUAUAUUGUAUACCUAUUUUAAUGGAUUGCCUUUUUAUUCACAGUAUUCAAAGCAACUUCAUGGGAUGGGGGAGGGGAAAACCUUUAGGCCUAAAAGCCUCUAUUAACCUAUCAAAUGUUCACUGACACUUUCAGAAAAAGCUAGAAGUGUCAGAAAUCUGAACAGGCAGAAUUUUACUUAAAAAUGCCCCUAGUGUGGGUUUCUGUCAUACUGUGUUGCCUUCUGAACUAAUCUAUAGGCCUGAUUUGAUGGAAUGUCACUUAAUUUAGUAAUCAGAUGUGUCUGGAGUUGGUAGCAAUAGUCAGAUUUCACCAUUUUUGUGUUUGUUUUAUCUGAACUAAGCAUUGAGAACCUUUAAGUGCAACUUCUGACUUAAAAGCAACCUUAAAAUCGAAGUAACACUUUUUUUUUCCUUUCUAAUUCUUGUUGCCUCUGCUUUUUAAAGUACUGUCUGCUGUAAGCUCGAAGCAGAAAUUUGGUCAGGGCUCAGACGGGGAAGAAAAUUUAGUAAACUGAAUUGGUUUUUUGGACUUUUAUUCCCAGAGACUGGUAAGCUCACUUCUGUUGAAUAUUUAAGUUUUUACUUAAAUCAGUAAUGUGGUACCUGAGUUUUGUUACUUGGUAUGAAUUACCUUUCAAGACUUUUGAAAUUUUUACUAAAUGAAAUAUAACUUCACUUGCUGAACGUCACAGUCAAGUAAGAACUACCAACUUUAAUGAAGUUUGCUUUGGGAACUGAAAUGUAAAAACCAGAAUUUAUGAGAAGCCCGCUCACCGCAACGAAGAGUAGCCCCCCCGCUCGCCGCAACUAGAGAAAGCCCACGUGCAGCAACGAAGACCCAGCGCAGCCAAAAAUAAAUAAAUAAAUUUAUUUUUUUAAAGAAAGCAUAUCCAAUAGAGGAUUAUAAAAUUACCAAAUAAAUUAAUAAUUAUUGCCCAAGGUCAA